CGCCUCGGUCCGCUCCCUCAGCAGAAUGAGGUCGGCCUCGAUCUGCUCGCACAUGGACUGCACCGUAGCAACUGAUGCCUCCAUGUCGCUCUCGUUAAGACCGUACUCUCCACCAUCUGCACAGGCUACAUGCACAGCUGACUGGCUUGUGGUUCGUUGAUGCAAAACGGGUCGUCACCAAGACAGAUGCCUGAUGUUGAGCUUUAAACCUCCGGGGGCGAACAGAUUUCCAUAAAUCCAUCCAUCCAUCAUCUUCUGUCUCCUUACCCAAGCCCACUCCCACAACGUAGAUGGUCUCUCCACAUCCCUCGUCCAUCCGCUCUCUCAGCUGCCUCAGGAGGGCAUCGUACUGCUCGCCGUUUGGACUGACCAGAGCCAGCUGUCAGGAGGAAACAUUGACU